rnacentral:lncRNA from 1 species
UUUCUUUUUGCUCCCCUCAUCACUCUUGAUUCAUUUAGCUCAGUUAAAUAGUUCUUUCUUACCUGGGAUGAAAUCCAUGGUCAGAAUCCCUAGUUUUGCCAGUUGUCUCAGUAAUAAAAUGUUCGCCAGCUACUUUAUAGUUAUAAAUAGCCAAGUCUAGUUUAAUAAUAAAACUCCAGACUUUAAUCCAACUUAAAACUCCCCUGCUUCAUAUGGGGCUCAUCUCAGGCUGCACACACUGUAGUGAGUAUAAGGGCAGAGCUGCUUUCCCUUUAUGUCUUCAUUGCUCCUUUUUCUCAGACUCACUCAUUGGUGUGGUAGCCUUUCUGGAAUUGGUCUAGGAUGGGAGGAAGAAGAGGUAAUGGUAGGAAGUGUUUUCCUUGUCAUUGCUACCCUCUGGAUAUGAUGGAUAUUGAAAAGCUGACUUGCCUUUCUUGGGAUGCUUUUGUGGCUCUUCCCUUCACUCAGCAAGACCUUCUCCACCUGGUCUUUUAUGACUCCACCCUCAGGCCAUUGGCUUCCAGUACGCACCUCUCAGGAAGGAUAUCCUUGUCUCUCCCAUUGGCCCUUUUGGACAGGAUGGCCCAUGUUGGGUUCCCUUCUGCGGGGCUGUGAGAUGGCCUGUAAGAACAUACUCAUCCGUGAUCUCACCAAACGGGGGGAGCAGGAUCUUCCCCUGUGAGGCACUGUCUCUGCUACCUCAAGGUGCCUCUGGGUAAAGUUUCUUGCUUUUAGAUUUCCCAAGACAGGCAUCCAACACAGGCACCAGGCCUAAGUCCCCAAAUCAAAGGACACAUUCGAUUUUCCAAGCGGCUGUUUUCGCAGGUCCGCUCUUUUGGUUUGAGGUGGAGCUGAGCAUCUUCAUCAUCGCCCCAGUGCAUGUGUGUGAGGUUGCCCAGCACAGCUCCGACUUUGCAGCCUUCUGGGUGAAAGUUUAGCAUUCUUCUGCAUCGCCUUGAGAUGCGUGACGCUAAUGCUGACACAAUAGGAAUUUGACCAUCCCCUCCCAAGCCUUUUUUGAGUGGUUGAUUGAACAACUUGUGUUAGGAUAUGAAGAUACUUAAAACAUAAUUUUGCCUUUGCAACCUCUGCUCAAAUCCAGAGACAACAGGAAAGUUCUGAUUUCGCAUUCUCUUAGACCAGCAUUUUCUCUGUGUAACAUGAAUGAAUAUUAAAUUUUAUCACAUGAUUUAACUGUAUUUGUUGAGAUCAUCAAGUAAUUUUACUCUUGAUCCCUUCAUGGGAUCAUUUAUAACAUGCAGAAACAUCGUUUAUUUCUGGGAAAAACUCUACUUGUUUAUAAUGUAUUACUUUUUCACAUUGCUGCAUUUGACUAGUUAAUAUUUAAUUUAGGGCCAUUACCACUCAUAUUCAUAAGUUAGACUGUUCCAUAAUUUUGUUUUCUAGUACUGUUCUGGUCAGAUUUUUGUGUCGUAGUUAUGGUAGCCCGAAAGCAGAUCUUGGGGAAAUAUCUUUCUUUUUCUAUAUUCUAAAACAAUUUUGUGUAAUAUAAUAAUUAUGCUUUUCUUGAAUAUUUGGUGUUCUCACUUAUAAAAUAGCCUCAGCUUGAUGUCUAUAUGGAAGAGAGAUUUCUGACUACUGAUUCAUUUUCUUUUCAAUUUUUUAAGUAGUCAGCAGUCUGUUAAAAUGUUUAUUGUGUUUUAGUAAAUUAUUUUCACUUAUGUUUUCCCAGAAAUUUGUUAAUUUCAUCUAAAUUUUCAAAUUAAUGUUAUAAAGUUAUUCCUAGAAAUUUUCUAAUAUUACUUGUAUCUCCCCUGAAACUGUAGAAUUGUUCUAAUUUUUGAUAUUAAUGCUGUUUUUGCCUUUUCUUUCUUUUUUCUAUAUUCCAUUUUGUUAAGAUAUGUGCUCUCUUUAGGUCUUUAAAAAAAUGAAAUAAUUUUCUCUUCUUAUUUUUAUUAUACUGAAUUUGCUUUCUGUUUGUUAAAUUCACAAUAUUUCUUUAUUUCUACUUUAUUUGAGAUCUAUUAUUUUUAUUUUUUUAUUUUUUAGUGAAUUAUUUGAAUGUAUAAAUUUCCUUCUAAGUACAUCUUUACUACAAACCAUAAGUUUUGAUAUGGUGUACUUUUUAGUUAUUUAGUUCUAAAUAUUUCACUAUUUAUACCAUUUUUUCCCCCUUAAACCCAUAAAUUAUUUGGGAGUAUGUUUUUAGUGUUAAUGCAUAUGAAUUUUAAAAUUAUCUUUUAAAUAUUUCAAAUUCAACAGAAUUAGGAAUAGAGAAUGUGACCCUUUAUGAUCUCAAGUUUUUAUGUAUUUUGAGUCUUUUGGCAUAAUAUGUGGUCGGUCUUUAUAAAUAUUUUGAGUGUACAUAAAAAUAAUGUCAAUUCUUUAUUUGUUGGUGUGCAGGAUUCUGUACGAACCUAUCAGGUAAAGUUUUUCAUUUUAUUGUUUACAUUUCCUAUGUUCUCACUACUUUCGAAUCCAGAUGGUUUGUCUGAGUCUGAAAGACGGAUUAAAAUCAGCCGUUUUGAACCAUUUAAGCGGUUGGACAUCGAUGUACCUUAACACAGACUUCAGGUUUAUGAUUCUCACUAUUCAUUUAGCAUCUUGUUUCUGCAAAUUUCUGUCUUUCAUCAAGUUUGUAUGAUGCACCGUUUGGUAUUAUCUAGGAGAUCCCCAAGGUCAUGUUCUUUAAAAAAAAGUUUUUCUCUCUGUUCCUCACCUUGGGUAAUUUCUAUUGCCCUGUCUUCAAGUUUACUUACACUUCCUUGCCAUGUCCUUUUAGCUGUUAAAUCCAUCUGGUGGUUUUGUUUUGUUUUUAAUUUAUGAAGUUGUGUUUAUCAGGCCUAAAAUUUCCUCUUUUUUGUUCCUAUAUAUAGUCUGUGAUUUCUUAUUUCUCUGCUGAGAUUUUUAUUCAUGGAAGACAUGUUUUUUUUUUUUUACUUUAUUGGGAGUAGUUGUAAUAACAACAUUAAAAUCCUCGUUUGUUAGUUUCAACAUCUGGUUUAUCUCAGAGUAGGACUCCAUUGAUUUUAUUUUCUCUUGGGAAUGUAUACUUUUUUUUUUUGUUUCUUUGUAUGCUGUACUUUAAACAUGAUGCUUAUAUUUUGAGUGGCAUGCAACUUUGAGAUCAUGUGAAAGUAGUAUUUACAGCUCACCUUGGACUCCCCUAAGACUAUACAUUCACGAGGAGAAACUUCACAAACUAUUUUUCUCUCCCUUGAGUAGAUAUAAUCAAAUGCCUGACAAUUACAUAGGUUUCUGAUAUGAUUUUACUGUGUGUGUAUAGUUAUAAUUUUUAAAAACCACUUGUAUGUUGAUACCAUCAUCCAAGAUUAUACAGCACUUUCCAGUGUUUACGUCAAAACUAAGUUUAAGGUAAAACACAUCUUCCAAAUGUCGAUAACUUGUCCUCACAUAAGCCAAAAAAACUUUAUUUCAAAUCAUGAAGAAGUUCAUAUACAGAGGCGGAUUUGCUUUCAAUUUUUGGGAAAUUCAGCUUAAUGCAUUCAACUUCUAAAUGUCAGUUAUGCAUCAAAGAGGAGAAGCCAAAGUCAUUUUAACUCCCAGAGGAUACUGCCAAACCCUUCACUGUCAUACUUAACUAAGUGGGGAAAAAAGCCUGUGCCCACAUCAAUUUACUGCUUUUGUGAUUUAUCAAGAAGAUUUACCUGUAAUACUUUAUUUUAAUAUGGUACUUAGAGGUGACAAUCCUUGGCAGAAAAUAGCAUUUCUAUGGGAAAAAAAAUUCCGUUUUCCUUUUCAGUAAUUUCUUCCUUAUACUGAAGUUGCUCUAUUAGACUCACUUAUUUCCUUAGGAAAAUGUUAAUGAUUGUCUAAGCUGGGUGAUGACUACAGAAAAUCCAUUAUACUAAUUCUUUGUACUUUUAUGUUUGAAAAUUUCCAUAAUAUGGAGUUCAAAAAACACUUCCUCGUGGUUGAGAAAUAGAAACACCUAUUAAAAAUUCCAAUGAAUUUCUAUUGGGAGAUGACUCAGUAUAAUUUUUCAGAACAUAGCAUUUGGGGCAUAAGUGUGAGCUUUGGACACCAACUGCCAAAUCUGAGUCCUAUCUAUGUGUGACCUUGGGAAAGCUAAUUAACCUCUCUGUGCCUUGGUUUCACCUUUCUUUUUCCCUUCCUCAUUCCUAGCCCUCUCCCCUUCCCUUUCCCUUCGUUUUCUUCUGUCUUUCUCAUAAAAAAGUGCCAAAGAACCAGAAAUAGAUAUUGAAUAAAGCACUGGAUGUGGCAUUAGAUAGCCUGAGUUCAAUUUUGACUCUAGUUUUAUCAGUCUCAAUAUGUGAACUUGGCAGCCGAGGGCCAGUUUCAAGGCUUAGAUUGAAUGGCGUCUGAAUCUAUUCUCUGGCAUACAGAUGUUGAGUCCUCAUGGGCAACCAAUAGACACCUUUCUUCCAUAACUGGAUUU